AAGAAUCGACCCCCCCUCCGUAGCGCGAACAAUCUCGGGCGUGCGAGGGAACUGGCCUUGUGGAGUGUGAACCCUGAUAUUUUUUUGUAACACAGAAAGCUUGGAAGAUGCCAGGAAUAAUUACAGAAGAAGUUUCUGAAUAUUGUGAUCGUUUGACUACUGAGAUCAUAAGUACAUCUCCUCCUGGAAGCUCUGAUGCAGAGAGUGCAUGUAAUGCUGGUGAAAACAAAGGUAGACAACCUGCCUGGGAUCCUUUGUAAUCUUGGAGGGAGAAGUAAUGAAACAGAGUGGGUGAAGCUGGGCAAUCCUGUGUAAAAAUCAGGAUUUUAUU